UACGUAGGGCGCAAGCGUUGUCCGGAAUUAUUGGGCGUAAAGAGCUCGUAGGCGGCCUGUUGCGUCCGCUGUGAAAUCCCGGGGCUCAACCCCGGGCGUGCAGUGGAUACGGGCUGGCUGGAGGCAGGCAGGGGAGAACGGAAUUCCUGGUGUAGCGGUGAAAUGCGCAGAUAUCAGGAGGAACACCGGUGGCGAAGGCGGUUCUCUGGGCCUGUACUGACGCUGAGGAGCGAAAGCAUGGGGAGCGAACAGG
rnacentral:rRNA from 1 species